CUACAGCUUAACUUUUCUCCAGUUGGAGUGAUGUGUGAAUGUUGGAGCUGCCAGAAAAAGACUGCAAGUGAUGAGCAUUAUCCUGCUCCACUUAUUUUAUCAUCACAACCAUUAAUCCAGGGUCUCAAGACAAGCUGAGAAACAGUGGCUGGACCAAGACCACCCAGAGAGCUUCACAGAUAGGAACUGNCCAGACCCACAAAAUUCAGUUCAGGACACACUGGUGAACUUUUCUAAAAGAUUCUCUUCCUUCUGUGAUUUUAGAUUCUGUAUGAGUGGAUGAAGUUUCAAAGGAUUCAUUUUUGUGGUCACACAUCAAUGAACACAGUGAGUAUAGAUAAAGAACAUAAGAGGAUCAGGCCACAACUCAUCUAGUCCAGUAUCCUGUCUCACACAUUGGUCCACCAAUUGCUUCUGGGCAUUCUCAAACAAAAGACAAAGGCAAAACCUUCACCUGCUUUUGAUUCCCUGCAGAUGGGCUUUAGAGGCAUCCUACCUCUAACAUGUGACUGCAUGCUUAACUACUUAUACCAGUUAAUUUUACCACUCAAUAUAAGAGGACAGAGAAAUGCAAAAAUGUAGCCCUCUAUUCAAAGUACAGAUAUGUACAGACAGUAUGUGAUUUUUCUUUCCCCAUAGACAAAUGUGGUAAUACGGAUGGACAGAGAAAUUGUGCACAAUGUCGGUAGCUAUUUUUCCUGCCUAAUUUUGUCUCUUCAAACAAAUGUAGCAGUGAUGAAUUAAAAACUGUUUGUCAGGCAGUACUUGCAUUUGCCCAAAUUGUGUUGCUUUUUUUCCUUCACAAUCAUUCAUACAACAGUAGAUGCCAUAACAGUUCAACCAUUACAGGCAUAUUCUUGAAAAUCUAUGUGGACUUUCAACAUGAGGAUAUUACUUUGUAAAUCUUCUAUUGUUAAACAUCGUAAUGAAUAAUAUAUAGCAUUGACUUCCAUAUCAGUAGUGAUGAUGUGGCAAGGGAUGGUUAGUUUGAGAGUGAACUAAUUUUUGUGAGGAGCUUCAAAUCCCAUAGCUUUUAGCCACAGUGGUCACAGGCUAAGGAUCAUGAGCAACUUUCUCAAAUUCUAAUAAUUUUGAUCUGAUAGCACCUAGUGAGUUCAAGGCAGAACAUAAUUUGAA
rnacentral:lncRNA from 1 species